CCACCGCAAACCCCCCCCCCCCCCCCGCACCAAAUCCCUAACCCCCUCCAGAUUCAAGAAGCCAUCUCCUUCCCCGACCAAGUCCUCCUCUUCCUCAAAUCUCCCUCUUCCCUCCGCAUUUCCGAACUCUGCCUCUACUACUCUUCCUCCCUCUCCAUCACCGCAGGCGGCGGCCUCAUCCUCGGCUCAACCUCGGCUCCCCUCCUCUUUUCCCCGCUUCUCUUUGUGGCGUCGAGAAGCAGCGCACAAAGAACAUCUCCGGCGAUGAUGUCUUCGCCCGCCUCUUCGCCGCCGCCGUCAAGUCUAACAUCAACGACGCCCUCCAGGUCCUCCUCCUCUUUCUCCCUUCCAAGGUUUCUUUUCCCUGAUGUUUCCUUAGUGGCGCAUUUUUUUCUUGUCCCUGUUGUGUAGAAAUUGGAGAUGGCAGCCGGGGAGAAAAAUAGGGCGGCGGCGAUAGUGAUGAAUGCCGAGAUCUGGCGCACCAAGGCCUGGUUGAUCGAGGAGUUGGCCCUCAAGAAGCCAUGCCGGAUCUUCGGCGAACUCCACCUCCCUCACUGCUGUCCUCCUCGCUUGCCACGGAUGCAAUAUUCUCAGCCUUCUGACUAUGAGAAGAGUGGCGGCGGCCAAGCACGACAUCUAUUCGAUGGAAUGCUGAAGAGAGGCAUAGUACAUACAAAAUUUUUGAUAGCAUUAUUGCAUGUUGGGUGGCUAUACUGGUAAUGAGAACAAGAUAGCUCUUCACUUUAGUACUGCCUUUUGGCCUAAUGUAGAAGUUUUAGGAAUGGUUGCUCCAACAUCUUAUGCCUGUGGCUAUUUUCUCAAUCUCCACAAAGCAACAGGACAUCCUGUUCUUGUGUACAUGGCUACUGGAAGGUUUGCUCAUGACAUUGAGAAACUAUCUGAUGAAGAAGUUGUUAACUUUGUGAUGCUAUAACUUAAGAAAAUGCUACCAGAUGCCACAGAGCCGUUCAAUAUUUGGUUUCUCGGUGGGGUACAGAUCCAGAUUCCCUUGGGUCCUAUUCUUGUGAUCUGGUUGGGAAGCCAACUGAUUUGUAUGAGAGAUUUUGCACUCCUGUGGAUAAUUUAUAUUUUGCUGGGGAAGCAUUAAUUGUUGAUCAUUCUGGGUCUGUUCAUGGAGCUUAUACAUCAGGUAUGUUGGUUGCCGAAGACUGCCGAAGGCAUCUAUUAUUGCAGCAUGGUAUCUCGGACCGCUUCCAGAUUGUAUUAAGGGAGGAAAUGUCCGAAAUGAUACCCUUCUAAAUAUUUAGGAUGUAGUUUAUUUUUUGCUGGAUCAAUAACGAAACCGUGUAUUAUUUGAAAAUAAAUGGAAGUAGAUUUUUGUUUUUUUUUGCCA